rnacentral:tRNA from 1 species
GCGGGCGUGGCGGAACGGCAGACGCACCAGACUUAGGAUCUGGCGGGGCGACCCGUGGAGGUUCAAAUCCUCUCGCCCGCA